UACGGAGGUGGCGAGCGUUGUUCGGAAUUACUGGGCGUAAAGGGCGCGUAGGCGGCUGGGCAAGUCGGAUGUGAAAUCCCCGGGCUUAACCUGGGAACUGCAUCCGAAACUGCCUGGCUUGAGUCCUGGAGGGGGUAGUGGAAUUCCCAGUGUAGCGGUGAAAUGCGUAGAUAUUGGGAGGAACACCGGCGGCGAAGGCGGCUACCUGGACAGUGACUGACGCUGAGGCGCGAAAGCUAGGGGAG
rnacentral:rRNA from 1 species